CGGCGCUUCACUUUAUUGGGCUUUGCAGAUACCGUGCUCUUUACAGACGGAAGUUUCAAGACUCCAGUGCAGGAAGUAACUACAGAUGUGGUGGAAAUAGCCGGAGAGCUAGAAUGAGAAGUGGGCCUGAACUGCUGCGAUCUCGUGAUCAAACUGGAACAGAUGGGGAGAAGCUUCCUGACGAGCAAAGAACGUGGGUUCUCGAUGUGGACCGACUCCUGGGGACGGUGCUGUCAAGACUGUUGAACUGGCCUCAGAGGGUUUAGAAUAUGACAUAAAUGUAGUCCGUAAGGCAGCCGCAGGGUUCGAGAGGAUUGCCGCCAAUUUUGGAGGAAGUACAGCGCCCUCAGCGUGGCAUGCUACGGAGAAAUCGCUCGUGAGAGCAAGAGUCAGCUGAGCUGGUGAGCGCCCUCGCGGCCUUGUUUAGGAAACGGCCACAGCCACCCCAGGGUCAGCUGCCAUCGACAUCGCGGCGAGACCUUCCACCGGCGAGCAGACUCGGACUCACUGAUGACGGUUAGCAUCUUUUAGCCACGACGCAUUUUUAAUGAAGGUAUAUACCUUUUUUGAAAGACACGGUAGCAUUGCACAUCUCAUAGACUAGGGGACAGUGUAGAUACAACUUUCUACGCUCUGGGAAACCAAACAUUCGACUUGCUUUACUGCAGUGGUCUGGAACCGAACCGGCGGUAUCUCCGAGGUGUGCCUGUGGAGGCAGGGGAGGGGAGAGACUCCCCCGUCCACCUGCGACCGUUUCUUCACCUCCCACUUCACAUGACGAACCAGAGUGGCCUGACUAAAGGUCUUGAAGCUUGCUCGGAGGCCUGGCCCGGCUGGGAAGAAGUUGUCUGCUCAGUUAUAUUUAGGCUAGCAGAGACAUCAAUCCAAGGCUCUUUAAAAAUAAAGUCUUGUUUCAGCUGGAUCCCCGAGCGCGUCCCCACCCACUCCUAACGAGAAGCCGUUCGCCUCCUCCGGGUUCCAGUCUCCAUUUCAGACCCUUCACGUGGCCCACA
rnacentral:lncRNA from 1 species